CCGCGGUAACACCGGCGGCCCGAGUGGUGAUCGUGAUUAUUGGGUCUAAAGGGUCCGUAGCCGGUUUGGUCAGUCCUCCGGGAAAUCUGAUAGCUCAACUAUUAGGCUUUCGGGGGAUACUGCCAGACUUGGAACCGGGAGAGGUAAGAGGUACUACAGGGGUAGGAGUGAAAUCUUGUAAUCCCUGUGGGACCACCUGUGGCGAAGGCGUCUUACCAGAACGGGUUCGACGGUGAGGGACGAAAGCUGGGGGCACGAACCGGAUUAGAUACCCGGGUAGUCCCAGCCGUAAACGAUGCUCGCUAGGUGUCAGGCAUGGCGCGACCGUGUCUGGUGCCGCAGGGAAGCCGUGAAGCGAGCCACCUGGGAAGUACGGCCGCAAGGCUGAAACUUAAAGGAAUUGGCGGGGGAGCACAACAACGGGUGGAAGCCUGCGGUUUAAUUGGACUCAACGCCGGACAACUCACCGGGGGCGACAGCAAUAUGUAGGCCAAGCUGAAGACUUUGCCUGAAUCGCUGAGAGGAGGUGCAUGG
rnacentral:rRNA from 1 species